AUGUUUUCCCCCACAAUAUAUGUUUGAAGUGGAAUUGUCGUGUGUGUGUGUAAGCUACAUUCCUGUUUGCCAUGCACUCUCUAUGUGUCAUGAGGGCUGACUGUCAAUAGUAAGAGUCCUGCGACACUGAUUUGUUCCAACUGUCUGGAUGUUGAGGAUUUAUCAUCUGGGAUGUGAAUUAACCCCUCUGUUGUGCUAAUAGGAGAAGAGAUGCCCUGUUGAAAUACUUACUAUCUGCCUCAGAAAAGCUCUGUGCAACCUGUUGACUUCGAGUCUGCUGUAUCCCUGCCAUUCAACUGUAUGGUGAGAGGUGUUCGCUCCUUCCAAUACAUGUGAAUUGUAUACUUGCCUGAAACAUCCAUUCUGUCUGUCUCAGAAGAAGCCCCAUUCAGCCUGUUGACUUCGAGUCUGCUGUAUCCCUGCCAUUCAACUGUAUGGUGAGAAGUGUUCGCUCCUUCCAAUACAUGUGAACUGUAUACUUGCUUGAAACAUCAAUUCUGUCUGUCUCAGAAGAAGCCCAUAUUCAGCCUGUUGACUUCGAGUCUGCUGUAUCCCUGCCAUUCAACUGUAUGGUGAGAAGUGUUCGUUCCUUCCACUGCCUGUGAACUGUAUACUUGCCUGAAACAUCCAUUCUGUCCGUCUCAGAAGAAGCCCCAUUCAGCCUGUUGACUUCGAGUCUGCUGUAUCCCUGCUAUUCGUCUGUAUUGUGAGAAGUGUUCGUUCCUUCCAAUGCAUGUGAACUGUAUACUUGCCUGAAACAUCCAUUCUGUCUGUCUCAGAAGAAGCCCCAUUCAGCCUGUUGACUUCGAGUCUGCUGUAUCCCUGCCAUUCAACUAAGAAGCCCCAUUCAGCCUGUUGACUUCGAGUCUGCUGUAUCCCUGCUAUUCGUCUGUAUUGUGAGAAGUGUUCGUUCUUCCAAUGCAUGUGAACUGUAUACUUGCCUGAAACAUCCAUUCUGUCUGUCUCAGAAGAAGCCCCAUUCAGCCUGUUGACUUCGAGUCUGCUGUAUCCCUGCCAUUCAACUGUAUGGUG
rnacentral:lncRNA from 1 species